rnacentral:rRNA from 1 species
AUUGAACGCCGGCGGCAGGCCUAACACACGCAAGUCGAGCGGAUGAAGGGAGCUUGCUCCUGGAUUCAGCGGCGGACGGGUGAGUAAUGCCUAGGAAUCUGCCUGGUAGUGGGGGAUAACGUCCGGAAACGGGCGCUAAUACCGCAUACGUCCUGAGGGAGAAAGUGGGGGAUCUUCGGACCUCACGCUAUCAGAUGAGCCUAGGUCGGAUUAGCUAGUUGGUGGGGUAAAGGCCUACCAAGGCGACGAUCCGUAACUGGUCUGAGAGGAUGAUCAGUCACACUGGAACUGAGACACGGUCCAGACUCCUACGGGAGGCAGCAGUGGGGAAUAUUGGACAAUGGGCGAAAGCCUGAUCCAGCCAUGCCGCGUGUGUGAAGAAGGUCUUCGGAUUGUAAAGCACUUUAAGUUGGGAGGAAGGGCAGUAAGUUAAUACCUUGCUGUUUUGACGUUACCAACAGAAUAAGCACCGGCUAACUUCGUG